AGUAAUGUAUGGGGAUCUGCCCGAUAGGGGGGGAUAACUACUGGAAACGGUGGCUAAUACCGCAUAAUGUCUACGGACCAAAGCAGGGGCUCUUCGGACCUUGCACUAUCGGAUGAACCCAUAUGGGAUUAGCUAGUAGGUGGGGUAAAGGCUCACCUAGGCGACGAUCUCUAGCUGGUCUGAGAGGAUGAUCAGCCACACUGGGACUGAGACACGGCCCAG
rnacentral:rRNA from 1 species